UGUGAAAGCAACAAAAUAAGAUUGGUUUCAAAACUUUGAGAAAAUUCCUUUUGUUAUAUGUGCAACAGCAAGGACUCUUGUAUUUUUUUUUUUCGUGUCAGGAGCAACUUGAGUCGCUUCUGCAGGGAGAGAGUUCGCCGUCUGCAAGGACGAGGCCCAGGGGAUGCCCGGAUGUUUUGAUGUUUUUACCAUCCUUGUGGGAGGCUUCUCUCAUGUCCCCGCAUGGAGCUGAAGCUGAUAGAUGGAGCUCAUCUGCACUCUCCGUGGGUGGGAUUCGAACCUGGCAGCUUUCAGGUGAGGUCAAUUUCAGAGCAGGAAGAGGAGUUGGAGAAGAGGACCCCCAGUUCAUGAUAGGUGGAGGCUCAGGUGUCUGGCUCAGCCCAUUCCUUGCUGAUGGAACAAAAGGCUGCAAUCAAGACAUCAAGAUCGGCACAUGUAUGGAAUGCACUCCUUAAAUAUUGCCUGGAACCAGGGGGUUGACUUAAUAGGCUGUCUAUGUAAAAAAGAUACUUUUUCCAGCCAACAAUAAAAAUUCACUUCUCUUCUUGAUA